GAUGAACGCUGGCGGCGUGCCUAAUACAUGCAAGUCGAGCGAACGGACGAGAAGCUUGCUUCUCUGAUGUUAGCUGCGGACGGGUGAGUAACACGUGGAUAACCUACCUAUAAGACUGGGAUAACUUCGUGAAACCGUAGCUAAUACCGGAUAAUAUUUUGAACCGCAUGGUUCAAAAGUGAAAGACGUUCUUGCUGUCACUUAUAGAUGGAUCCGCGCUGCAUUAGCUAGUUGGUAAGGUAACGGCUUACCAAGGCAACGAUGCAUAGCCGACCUGAGAGGGUGAUCGGCCACACUGGAACUGAGACACGGUCCAGACUCCUACGGGAGGCAGCAGUAGGGAAUCUUCCGCAAUGGGCGAAAGCCUGACGGAGCAACGCCGCGUGAGUGAUGAAGGUCUUCGGAUCGUAAAACUCUGUUAUUAGGGAAGAACAUAUGUGUAAGUAACUGUGCACAUCUUGACGGUACCUAAUCAGAAAGCCACGGCUAGCUACGUG
rnacentral:rRNA from 1 species